UCUGUUUUUAAUCUCUUUAUGAGAGAGAUCUUGGAAUGACUCAUACAGAUAUGUGGAUCCAAUCCUGCUGUUGCUUAUUUAUGCAGAAUACCCAUUAACUCCAUUGGGUUCUGCGUAUGCCUAACCAAGGAUGGAAUUUGGACUCCAAUCUAUUUGUAUCUAAGCACUCCUUUGACAACUUCCUGAUUGAUCUGUAGUUAAUCUGGAGCUUUAUUAUGGGUGGUUUAUCGUCUUCUUUUCCCUGGAAGACUCUAUGGACAAAUGGAGAGAUGGUAGAAUUAUGUUAUCAAAAAUACCAAGGAAGUAAAGGGGAAGUGAUAUUUAUUCAAGCUCUAAAACCAAUUUAAUUCAAUGCCUGACAAGGAGUUGAAAGACAAGUUUUUUUUGUUGAAAAGAUUCCAUGCCCUGGACCUUCCAGUUCUUUGUCCUCUAAAGAAACCUCCAGCAAAAAAAUGAACAAGGAAGAGAAGAUGCUUCUGACUUUAAACAAAUGAAUCAAAAAACUCCUGUUAGACUGUCUUCAUUAUAAGCAAACCAAAAAGGAUCGAUGUUUCAGUUUUUCCUUUGCAGAUCACCUUUAAAGUAUCAGAUAAUCUUAAUUCAAUAAAGUAAUGUAGAUUUGA